rnacentral:rRNA from 1 species
ACUCAAAUGAAUUGACGGGGGCCCGCACAAGCGGCGGAGCAUGUGGAUUAAUUCGAUGCAACGCGAAGAACCUUACCUGGGUUUGACAUACACCAGAAACCUGCAGAGAUGUGGGCUCCCUUGUGGCUGGUGUACAGGUGGUGCAUGGCUGUCGUCAGCUCGUGUCGUGAGAUGUUGGGUUAAGUCCCGCAACGAGCGCAACCCUUGUCCCGUGUUGCCAGCAAGUCGUGUUGGGGACUCGCGGGAGACUGCCGGGGUCAACUCGGAGGAAGGUGGGGACGACGUCAAGUCAUCAUGCCCCUUAUGUCCAGGGCUUCACACAUGCUACAAUGGCCGGUACAGAGAGCUGCGAGACCGUGAGGUGGAGCGAAUCUCUUAAAGCCGGUCUCAGUUCGGAUCGGGGUCUGCAACUCGACCCCGUGAAGUUGGAGUCGCUAGUAAUCGCAGAUCAGCAACGCUGCGGUGAAUACGUUCCCGGGCCUUGUACACACCGCCCGU